CCUACGUGUGGCAGCAGUGGGGAAUAUUGCACACUGGGGGAAACCCUGAUGCAGCGACGCCGCGUGAGUGAAGAAGUAUGUCGGUAUGUAAAGCUCUAUCAGCAGGGAAGACAAUGACGGUACCUGAUUAAGAAUCCCCGGCUAACUACGUGCCAGCAGCCGCGGUCAUACGUAGGGGGCAAGCGUUAUCCGGAUUUACUGGGUGUAAUGGGAGCGUAGGCGGAAUGCCAAGUCAGCGGUAAAAUCGCGGGGCGCAACCUCGCUCCGCCGUUGAAACUGGCGUUCGUGAGUGGGCGAGAAGUAUGCGGAAUGCGUGGUGUAGCGGGGAAAUGCAUAGAUAUCACGCAGAACUCCGAUUGCGAAGGCAGCAUACCGGCGCCCAACUGACGCUGAAGCACGAAAGCGUGGGUAUCGAACAGGAUUAGAUACCCCAGUAGUC
rnacentral:rRNA from 1 species